rnacentral:rRNA from 1 species
GACGAACGCUGGCGGCGCGCUUAACACAUGCAAGUCGAACGGAAAGGCCUGCUUUCCCUUGUGGAUUGCGGGUACUCGAGUGGCGAACGGGUGAGUAACACGUGAGUGAUCUGCCCCCAACUUGGGUAUAAGCCUGGGAAACUGGGUCUAAUUCCCGAUAGGACUGCAGGGUGGUGCCUGUGGUGGAAAACGAUUUUCUAGUGGUUGGGGAUGAGCUCGCGGCCUAUCAGCUUGUUGGUGGGGUAAUGGCCUACCAAGGCGGCGACGGGUAGCCGGCCUGAGAGGGUGGACGGCCACAUUGGGACUGGGAUACGGCCCAGACUCCUACGGGAGGCGGCAGUGGGGAAUAUUGCACAAUGGGCGGAAGCCUGAAGCAGCGACGCCGCGUGGGGGAUGACGGCCUUCGGGUUGUAAACUCCUUUCGACCGAGAGGAAGCCACCUGGUUGGAAGGGUGGUGACGGUAGUGGUAGAAGAAGCACCGGCUAACUACGUG